rnacentral:rRNA from 1 species
UAGGGAAUCUUCGGCAAUGGGGGCAACCCUGACCGAGCAACGCCGCGUGAGUGAAGAAGGUUUUCGGAUCGUAAAGCUCUGUUGUAAGAGAAGAACGUGUGUGAGAGUGGAAAGUUCACACAGUGACGGUAACUUACCAGAAAGGGACGGCUAACUACGUGCCAGCAGCCGCGGUAAUACGUAGGUCCCGAGCGUUGUCCGGAUUUAUUGGGCGUAAAGCGAGCGCAGGCGGUUUAAUAAGUCUGAAGUUAAAGGCAGUGGCUUAACCAUUGUUCGCUUUGGAAACUGUUAAACUUUAGUGCAGAAGGGAAGAGUGGAAUUCCAUGUGUAGCGGUGAAAUGCGUAGAUAUAUGGAGGAACACCGGUGGCGAAAGCGGCUCUCUGGUCUGUAACUGACGCUGAGGCUCGAAAGCGUGGGGAGCAAACAGG